rnacentral:lncRNA from 1 species
GGGAAAUCGGUGUAAAACCGGGAAAGGAGCCUCGGGGAGAGAGGGAGGAGCCCGUGGGGGCGGGAACGGGUCGGGCACGGUGAGCUAGUGAGCUGUAUAUAUCCCGGUUUUUAAGCAGUGCUCGCCCGCCAGCGCGGAGCGGCUCCUUCCCAGACCUGCCCCAGAUGAACCUAAUGGCCACAAAAAAAGGGAGUUCAUGGCAGCAUGACCAAGGAGGCCAAUUUGAGUCCAUAAGUAAGUGUGGACUCAUGGAUCCAAUUGCUCUUGUCUGUGGUCAUGCUUGGGAACCCUUGGGAUGGGAUGUGUUAUCCCUGAGAGAAGUGAGGCCAGUGGAGUUGUCUCCCCUGGGCACGUUGCCUGCAGAACCCCUUCCAGAGCACAGCAGAAGGCCUGGCCUUUGAGCUGGGAUCAGUUUGGUCAGAGGCAUGACCUCCUUUAACCAGGGACACAUCCCACUCUAGCAGGGGGUGUUGCUGAGCAGGGCUUUGAGGGUCAGGCUGAAAUGAAUGUGUCAAGGGACAGUGAAGGAACGUGGGAGGUCUCUCUCCACUCUCAGAGUGGGAGGCAGAAGAGUCUCACCCUCUCAUGGGUGGCUGUGCUCUGGUGGGGCUGAGGCACCUGUUUGGUGCCUGAGUGCUGUGGCAGCUGAGGCAGCUCGCUGGCCCAGGAGAGCCUCAUUGGGCCUGAGGGUCAGGAACCCCCCAGCACUGCUGUGGGGCUCCUGGGCCAGCUGUGGGAUGUGUUCUGCCCCAGAACCUGCUCAGUGCAGUCCUGGAGUUCCUUGGGAAAAGGUCCCUGUUAAAUGUCCUCUUUUUCUUCUUGAUUUUAUUUUCAUAUGUACCUGAUGUCCAGCUGCAGCAUUUGCUUUUACUCUGGUUGAGAGAGUUGUAGAAAUUAUUAUCGACGAAUGCAGAAGGAAAAAGUGGGAGAAGAGCAACAAGGUGCUGGAAUCCGAGAGGAACGAAGACUUGCAGGACCUCAACAAAAAAAUACAAGCUCUGCAUAAAGAUUUCAACAUAUCAAAGGAGUCCACAAAGAAUGAGAUUCAGAUAAUAAGAGCUGACCUGGAGAAGAAAGUAAAGAAGGAAAUUUUAAGGGCCGUGGAAUCCAUAUUGAAACAGCAGCUUGGGCCACUAUCCAAAAAAUUUCAAACUCUGGAAGAAGAUGUACAGAACUGGCAAGAGACCACAAAGCGUGAGAUUCAGCUUCUCAGAGCAGACCUGGAGAAGCAAGGAAUGAAGGAGGAGGAAAUUGCACGGGAGCUGGUAUCAAUGUUGGACAACAAGUUCGGACAGCUGUCCCAAAAAUUUCAAACUCUGGAAAAAGAUGUACAGGAAUGGCAAGAGACCACAAAGCAUGAGGUUCAGCUUCUCAGAGCUUACCUGGAGAAGCAAGGUGAGCAGGGCCAUUGCCAAGCAGACUUUCAUCCAUCUGAGGGCAAUAGCUGCCCUCUAGGCCAAGCACCCUGUGAGCUUCUCCUGCUCAGCUUCUCACAGGGGAUGGGGAGGGGUAGCCCUUCCAUGGGGAGCGGCUUCUGUGACCCAUGGCACUGACACACCUCCAUGCUGAAGUGUUCUCUGCAGGUGCAGGUGGUCAGAGUCCCUCUUCUGUCCCUCAGCUUUGCAUGGGCUGUGUGCUGGGAGUUCUCUCACUGCUUGAUACUGGCUAAGGGUCCCCCCUUGAAGUCCUGUCCCUGUCUCUCUCCCUUUCCCCC